rnacentral:tRNA from 1 species
GCUCGCCUCGUCCAGGGCGGGUGCGCGGGCCUCGUGAGCCCGCAGGUGACGGGCUACAUCCAGCAGGAGUUCCGGGGCUUCGAGCGGGCGC